GAUCAUGGCUCAGGAUGAACGCUAGCUACAGGCUUAACACAUGCAAGUCGAGGGGAAACGACAUCGAAAGCUUGCUUUUGAUGGGCGUCGACCGACGCACGGGUGAGUAACGCGUAUCCAACCUGCCCACCACUUGGGGAUAACCUUGCGAAAGUAAGACUAAUACCCAGUGACGUCCAUAGAAGACAUCUGAAAUGGAUUAAAGAUUUAUCGGUGAUGGAUGGGGAUGCGUCUGAUUAGCUUGUUGGCGGGGUAACGGCCCACCAAGGCGACGAUCAGUAGGGGUUCUGAGAGGAAGGUCCCCCACAUUGGAACUGAGACACGGUCCAAACUCCUACGGGAGGCAGCAGUGAGGAAUAUUGGUCAAUGGACGCAAGUCUGAACCAGCCAAGUAGCGUGCAGGACGACGGCCCUAUGGGUUGUAAACUGCUUUUAUAGGGGAAUAAAGUGAGCCACGUGUGGUUUUUGCAUGUACCCUAUGAAUAAGGACCGGCUAAUUCCGUG
rnacentral:rRNA from 1 species